AACAAUAUUUGCAUGAAAAACUUGAACAGCCACCACCUACUUUCCUUGCUCUGGAACAUCUCACAUAUCAAAAUGUCUCCUGAGAUAAACAGAAAGAAGAAUGUGAAAACAGUUUGAUCCACUGGGUAUCAGGCAGCA